rnacentral:rRNA from 1 species
UACGAAGGGGGCUAGCGUUGCUCGGAAUCACUGGGCGUAAAGCGCACGUAGGCGGAUUGUUAAGUCAGGGGUGAAAUCCUGGAGCUCAACUCCAGAACUGCCUUUGAUACUGGCGAUCUCGAGUCCGGGAGAGGUGAGUGGAACUGCGAGUGUAGAGGUGAAAUUCGUAGAUAUUCGCAAGAACACCAGUGGCGAAGGCGGCUCACUGGCCCGGUACUGACGCUGAGGUGCGAAAGCGUGGGGAGCAAACAGG